CCUCCUUCAUCGUUGACCAAAAGUCAGAACAUGCCAAAAUCACACACCUGGAAUCUGAUGGGCGCCCAGCUAUAUCAAGAAUGUGUCGAUGAAUUAAAGAGUCAAAAUAUUAGUACACCUAAGCUGCAACCCAGCUGCAGGAGAUAAAGCUAUCGCGAAAUAGCACGUCUGAAAAAAGUAGAGAUUCAAGAGCUGCAGGAUCACCCUCGCUAUUUUUUUAUUAGAGAGUU
rnacentral:lncRNA from 1 species